GAGGAUUUACCCAGCCCUCGAGCGGCAGCUGUUCAAUGGUCGCGUAGGCUGGGGAUGGGCGGGGUGACCUGAAGCCCCGCCCCAGCAUACCUGCGCAGCCGCAGUCGACAGGCUCUGGCUGCCCAUCCCUUGGCGGGCGCCGACCGCGGCACUGAAACGAGCCUUCCCUCAACUGGACAUGGAGGAGGGCUGACGUGCUGACGUCUACGCCCGCCCCGCUUUUGCUGAUGGCGUCAUUUCCUUUCAGCUCAGCUGCAGCUGGUGAUCUCCUCAUACUGGGCACGGACCUCGGCAAGGAUGCCAUUUAAAUUGAGGGAGUGGCUGUUGUCCAUGGACAGGACCAGGGAUGUGUCCAAGAACUGGGAUUACAGCUCACAGAUCUCCUCUUCAUACAGCUGAAUGAGGAAGUUGAUCUUGUCAGUCAGCAUUUCCAGAUAUGCCGUAGAUGAUGUUCCCUUCUCAAUCCCUGCUGCCUCUGAAAUUGCCGACCUUAGUAACAUCAUCAAUAAACUACUAAAGGACAAAAAUGAGUUCCACAAACAUGUGGAGUUUGAUUUCCUUAUUAAGGGCCAGUUUCUGCGAAUGCCCUUGGACAAACACAUGGAAAUGGAGAACAUCUCAUCAGAAGAAGUUGUGGAAAUAGAAUACGUGGAGAAGUAUACUGCGCCCCAGCCAGAGCAAUGCAUGUUCCAUGAUGACUGGAUC
rnacentral:sRNA from 1 species